AACGUAGGACACAAGCGUUAUCCGGAGUUACUGGGCGUAAAGGGCGUGUAGGCGGUUUGUUAAGUCUGGCGUGAAAGCUCUCGGCUAAACCGGGAGAGGUCGUUGGAUACUGGCGAACUAGAGGAUGGUAGAGGCGUGUGGAAUUCCGGGUGUAGUGGUGAAAUGCGUAGAGAUCCGGAGGAACACCAGUGGCGAAGGCGACACGCUGGGCCAUACCUGACGCUAAAGCGCGACAGCAUGGGGAGCAAACGGG
rnacentral:rRNA from 1 species